AACGAACGCUGGCGGCAGGCUUAACACAUGCAAGUCGAGCGCCCCGCAAGGGGAGCGGCAGACGGGUGAGUAACGCGUGGGAAUCUACCCAUCUCUACGGAAUAACGCAUGGAAACGUGUGCUAAUACCGUAUACGUCCUUCGGGAGAAAGAUUUAUCGGAGGUGGAUGAGCCCGCGUUGGAUUAGCUAGUUGGUGGGGUAAAGGCCUACCAAGGCGACGAUCCAUAGCUGGUCUGAGAGGAUGAUCAGCCACACUGGGACUGAGACACGGCCCAGACUCCUACGGGAGGCAGCAGUGGGGAAUAUUGGACAAUAGGCGCAAGCCUGAUCCAGCCAUGCCGCGUGAGUGAUGAAGGCCCUAGGGUUGUAAAGCUCUUUCACCGGUGAAGAUAAUGACGGUAACCGGAGAAGAAGCCCCGGCUAACUUCGUGCCAGCAGCCGCGGUAACAC
rnacentral:rRNA from 1 species